AAAUUUAAAUGUAGUUUUAAUAAAAAUUAAUAAAACUUUCUUUAUAUUUUAUAUAUAUAAAUUAUAUUUUAAAUAGAAGAAAAAUUUAUAAUUCUAUUUUAAAAUAGAGUAGAAGUUUGAUAAAUGAUUUGGCUAAACUUGUGCCAGCCGCCGCGGUUAUACAAGUAAAUCUUUUUUUUAAAAAAUUAAAAAUAAUAAAAAAUUUUUGUAUUUUAAAAAUUUAUAAAGGUGAAAUUUAUAAUUUUAAAAAAAUUAAUUUGAUUUUAUAAAAAUUUAAUUUUUAAACUAGGAUUAG
rnacentral:rRNA from 1 species